AACGAACGCUGGCGGCAUGCCUAACACAUGCAAGUCGAACGAGACCUUCGGGUCUAGUGGCGCACGGGUGCGUAACGCGUGGGAACCUUCCCUUAGGUUCGGAAUAACUCCCCGAAAGGGGUGCUAAUACCGGAUAAUGUCUUCGGACCAAAGAUUUAUCGGCUUUGGAUGGGCCCGCGUUGGAUUAGCUAGUUGGUAGGGUAAAAGCCUACCAAGGCGACGAUCCAUAGCUGGUCUGAGAGGAUGAUCAGCCACACUGGGACUGAGACACGGCCCAGACUCCUACGGGAGGCAGCAGUGGGGAAUAUUGGACAAUGGGCGAAAGACUGAUCCAGCAAUGCCGCGUGAGUGAUGAAGGCCUUAGGGUUGUAAAGCUCUUUUACCCGGGAUGAUAAUGACAGUACCGGGAGAAUAAGCGCCGGCUAACUCCGUG
rnacentral:rRNA from 1 species